UACGAAGGGGGCGAGCGUUGUUCGGAUUUACUGGGCGUAAAGGGCGCGCAGGCGGCGCAUUUUGUCAGGCGUGAAAGCCCCGGGCUUAACCUGGGAACUGCGUUUGAUACGGAUGGGCUAGAGUUCGGGAGAGGAGAGUGGAAUUCCCAGUGUAGAGGUGAAAUUCGUAGAUAUUGGGAAGAACACCAGUGGCGAAGGCGGCUUACUGGUCCGGUUCUGACGCUGAGGCGCGAAAGCGUGGGGAGCAAACAGG
rnacentral:rRNA from 1 species